rnacentral:lncRNA from 1 species
GGUGGGCACCAUCCAAUCUGCUGCCAGCACAGCCAGAACACAGUAGGCGGAAGAAGGUGGGAUAGGCUGGCUUGAUGAGCCUUCUGACUUUCACCUUUCUCCCCUGCUGGAUGCAUCCAUCCAUCUCUCCCUCCUGCCUUCAGACAUCAGACUCCAGCUUCUUUGGCCUUUGGACUCUUAGACUUACACUAGUGGUUUGCUGGGGGCUUUCCGGCCUUUGGCCACAGACUGAAGGCUGCAUCGUCAGCUUCCCUACCUUUGAAGAUUUUGGACUUUGACUGAGUCACUAUUGGCUUCUUUCUUCCUCAGCUUGCAGACGGCCUAUCAUGGGACUUCACCUUGUGAUCAAUUUCAUUCCUGCAGAAACCACAAUAAAGGGACGUGCCCUCAGUUGCCCUGUCUCCCUCUGCCUCAUGACUGACCGCGGUGCAUGACCUGAGUGGCCUUGUGUGGCCUGCUGCUUUCUCCCCAGUGAACUGUGAAUUACUAAUUGAGGCAUAUUUUGUGACUAUGGCAGAGGCAAAAAAGUACAAACAAGUUGUUUUGGGGUGAGAUAAACAUUUAAAUUGGUGAACUUUGAGAGGAAAAUUAGAAGACAAGUAUCCUCAUUUCCACCUGGAUCCAGUCUUUCUUCCUUAUUACUUUUAUUAACAAUAUCAGUUAAGGUUUAUAUGGAUGUCUUGCUUUGGCCUGUACAAAAAACUACUUUGUAUAUGCCUUAUUUUAUUAAUUUUGCUUCUGAAUUUCAUCAAAUUCUCUGAUCAUAACUCUAUAUUCUUGUAAGGAAUGCUCAGAAUUAUACUAUUUCACUCCAAAUUUUAUUAUUAUUGAGACGAAACUGGGUAUAGAAAGUUGUGGGACCAGUUUGUAAUUUAUUGCUUUAAAAUUUGGUCAAGCCACUCAAAUUCUCUAGCUGUACCUAUGAAAUAGCUUUAAUAUUUCAAUCCCCUGCAUUUUCUUUGAAUAAUAUGGAGUUUGAAUUGAAGUGGUCCUGAAUUUGAGUGCUGCAUAUGCUACUUUUGAGAUAUGUGAUCUUGAGCAAGUUGCUUAAUCACAUUAAACCUCAAUUCUCUCAUCUUUAAAAUAGAAAAAAUAAUAGCUACUUUACAGUGUUGAGAAAAGAAUAAGAUGAAACAGUUUAUUAAAAACAUAGAAGAGUGCUUAAGACAUAAUAAAGUCUACAUAAAUUGUGCCUAUUGUUAUUACUAAUAAAAAAAAAAGAAAUUCUACGUGUCAGGAAUUUGAACAAAUUACAGCUGGAUUUGCAUAUUUCUUCCACAAGAUGUAUGUGGUCCCAUCUGAUAAUAGGGAAUUGGUUGGUAACUGGAAUCUUCUUGGAAACCUCUUAAAUCACAGAUCUUGCACUUGUACUGGGAUAAUCUGGAGUGUGUGCUCCUCUGAGUUUGUUGACCAAAUCACCUACAGGUGAACUCUCCAUAUAUGUAUUUUCCUAGUCAAUUCCUACACUGACCUCAAGCAAACACUGAUCAGCUUUCUGUCAUAAUAGAUGCGAUUUACUUUUUUAGAAUUUAAUAAAACUCAAAUUAUACUGUAUGCAUCCUUUUGUGUCUGGAUUGCUUUUUUUUCUCUGCCUUACAUUGUUGAAUAUAUUCUAGGUAUGUUUUACUAAUUGCUUGGUUGUAUAUUAAUGCAUACUGCAUUUUGUUUAUCCAUUCAACUAUUGAUGGAAAUUGGAGUUGUUUUCAGUUUCUGGUUAUAAAUAAAACAGCUAUGAACAUUUACAUACC